UACGGAGGGGGCUAGCGUUGUUCGGAAUUACUGGGCGUAAAGCGCGCGUAGGCGGGCUGUUAAGUCGGGGGUGAAAUCGCGGUGCUCAACCCCGGAACUGCCUUCGGUGCUGGCAGCCUAGAGGAAGGCAGAGGCUAGUGGUAUGGCGAGUGUAGAGGUGAAAUUCGUAGAUAUUCGCCGGAACACCAGUGGCGAAGGCGACUUGCUUGGACUUUUCUGACGCUGAGGUGCUAAAUCGUGGGGAUCAAACAGG
rnacentral:rRNA from 1 species